CUCGUGCUAUGAGAUGAGCCUGCGUCGGAUUAGCUAGUUGGUAGGGUAAUGGCCUACCAAGGCGACGAUCCGUAGCUGGUCUGAGAGGACGAUCAGCCACACUGGGACUGAGACACGGCCCAGACUCCUACGGGAGGCAGCAGUGGGGAAUAUUGGACAAUGGGGGAAACCCUGAUCCAGCAAUGCCGCGUGUGUGAAGAAGGCCUUCGGGUUGUAAAGCACUUUCAGUGGGGAAGAAAUUCUCAAGGCUAAUACCCUUUUGAGCGUUGACGUUACCCACAGAAGAAGCACUGGCUAACUCUGUGCCAGCAGCCGCGGUAAUACAGAGAGUGCAAGCGUUAAUCGGAAUCACUGGGCGUAAAGCGCGCGUAGGUGGAUAUUUAAGUCGGAUGUGAAAGCCCUAGGCUUAACCUGGGAAUUACAUCCGAUACUAGGUAUCUCGAGUAUGAUAGAGGGAAGUGGAAUUUCCGGUGUAGCGGUGAAAUGCGUAGAUAUCGGAAAGAACAUCAGUGGCGAAGGCGGCUUCCUGGAGCAAUACUGACACUGAGGCGCGAAAGCGUGGGGAGCAAACAGGAUUAGAGACCCUGGUAGUCCACGCCGUCAACGAUGAGAACUAGCUGUUGGAAAGUUUAAUUUCUAGUAGCAAAGCUAACGCGUUAAGUUCUCCGCCUGGGGAGUACGGCCGCAAGGUUAAAACUCAAAGAAAUUGACGGGGGCCCGCACAAGCGGUGGAGCAUGUGGUUUAAUUCGAUGCAACGCGAAAAACCUUACCUACCCUUGACAUCCUCGGAACUUGUCAGAAAUGACUUGGUGCCUUUGGGAACCGAGUGACAGGUGCUGCAUGGCUGUCGUCAGCUCGUGUCGUGAGAUGUUGGGUUAAGUCCCGUAACGAGCGCAACCCUCGUCCUUAGUUGCCAGCGGUUCGGCCGGGAACUCUAAGGAGACUGCCGGUGAUAAACCGGAGGAAGGUGAGGAUGAUGUCAAGUCAUCAUGGCCCUUACGGGUAGGGCUACACACGUGCUACAAUGGGCAGUACAAAGGGUUGCCAAACCGUGAGGUAAAGCUAAUCCCAAAAAGCUGCUCGUAGUCCGGAUUGGAGUCUGCAACUCGACUCCAUGAAGUUGGAAUCGCUAGUAAUCGCGAAUCAGAAUGUCGCGGUGAAUACGUUCUCGGG
rnacentral:rRNA from 1 species